UUUAGCAGCUAGCGUUUAAACAGUUAAUCUGAUUUAUAUAUUUACAGUUCAAAUAUAAUAUACAAUAAUUAUCGUUUUAUAAUCAGGACAAAAUGUAUCAAAUUAAGCUGUUUGUCACUUUGAACUAUUGAACAGUGUUUUAACAUAAAUUAACAACACAGGUAACACAGGUAACAGGUAACACAGCUAACAGGUAACACAGGUAACACAGGUAACACAGCUAACAGGUAACACAGGUAACACAGCUAACACAGCUAACAGGUAACACAGGUAACAGGUAACACAGGUAACAGGUAACACAGCUAACAGGUAACACAGGUAACACAGGUAACAGGUAACACAGGUAACAGGUAACACAGGUAACACAGGUAACAGGUAACACAGCUAACACAGGUAACAGGUAACACAGGUAACAGGUAACACAGCUAACACAGGUAACAGGUAACACAGGUAACAGGUAACACAGGUAACAC